CGCAAUGCCGCGUGUGUGAAGAAGGCCGUGCGGGUUGUAAAGCACUUUCAGUGGGGAAGAACGGAUGCGGGCCAAUACCCCGGAUCACUGACGUUACCCACAGAAGAAGCACCGGCUAACUCCGUGCCAGCAGCCGCGGUAAUACGGAGGGUGCAAGCGUUAAUCGGAAUCACUGGGCGUAAAGCGCACGUAGGCGGCCCGUUAAGUCAGAUGUGAAACCCCUGGGCUCAACCUGGGGAAUGGCAUUUGAUACUAGCGGGCUCGAGUCUGAUAGAGGGGGGUGGAAUUCCAGGUGUAGCGGUGAAAUGCGUAGAUAUCUGGAGGGAACACCCGGUGGCGAAGGCGGCCCCCUGGAUCAUGACUGACGCUGAGGUGCGAAAGCGUGGGUAGCAAACAGGAUUAGAUACCCUGGUAGUCCACGCCGUAAACGAUGUCGACUAGCCGUUCGGUCCAUUUUAAGGAUUGAGUGGCGCAGCCAACGCGAUAAGUCGACCGCCUGGGGAGUACGGCCGCAAGGUUAAAAACUCAAAAGGAAUUUGACGGAG
rnacentral:rRNA from 1 species